rnacentral:rRNA from 1 species
AAGUUUUCCGUAGGUGAACCUGCGGAAGGAUCAUUA